GCACUUGUAAAUACAUUUCAAUUUCAUGUUGGUGAGAAUAGGUCUAUACGGAACCAGGGACUGCGGGAGACGCUAUGUCCACGGCAACGUAAAGUGCAAGUUGAAGCAUGAAAUCCAGGUUUACUAGGAUCUAAUAUGAUGCGACCACGAUGGCUAUCAAGCACCCUGAAAUUUGAAUGUGUCAAUGUGUAUGAUAAUUCCAAGCUGUAAUUAUUGUUACUACCCCAGGGUAAACAAUGCGCCCUCCGGAAACCGAUUUAUAUCGUGCUAAGCUUCUAUCGCCCUGUGGGUCAAUUCUUUCUAGAUAUUAGACUCAACUAUUACC
rnacentral:sRNA from 1 species